AAGCUUGCACGUGUGGGUUCUGAGGUGGACAAAGCCCGAUGGAUGAUAGCUUGGUUCUGAGCUUAGCUGUUGGAAGACCGAUGGAUGGUGGACGGUGAACGGUGGAGGAUAGUCCGACGUAUAAAGGCUAAGCACAACACUGAAAUAUGAAUAGUCUAUCUCCGAUAGACCCACAUUCAAAAUAGUCCGAUAGUCCGAUGGACUCUAAGAACGAUUUCUUCUGGGGAGCGGAGAGGGAGAGAGACAGUGUAGGAGCGAGAGGGAGACAGAAGAGACAGUGUGGGAGCGAGAGGGAGAGAGGGCAUAUGGACGAUUGGCUCUGUUUAGCUCUACUUUGCUCUAUUUUUUUUUCUUUCUUUGGCUGAUUGGCUCUGGUUUUGGUUUGUUUCUUUCGUUGGUUUUGUUGCUCCUUCAACCUUUUUUCUAUUUAGUUUGGUUUUCUUGUUAGGGUUCGCUUGGGGUUUAACUACAAGGAUUUGUUUAUGUUUUGCAUUUUUUCGAGUUUUUGGGUGCAAGGCAUGCAUGUUUCGGUGGAGGCGCUAUUUCUGGUUGCAGUUGUGGUUUUUGGGUUAGAGCUUUAAUUGUGUUUGCAGAGGCCGUCAACAGUGGUGGUGGUUGGUCGUGGUUAAAGCUUUGGUUGGCCACGGACCACGAUUUCCCCACGGUGGUGGCUCCGCGUCCGCAACGGAGCAUGGGUUCUCGCAUGCCUUCUCUUUGUUGGGUAUGCUGGUAUUUGGAGUGGAUUCGUGGAAGGUGGUUUGUGGUUUUUCUCUUCGUCCUACAGUUAAUGGAAACUGAUGAUGGACACGGUUUUCUACCAAGAAGGUGGUAGGCAUGAGAGAUCUAGAGAGAGAAAAAGGGUAUAGAAAUUGAAAAAACAGUGAGGAUGUGACAUUCGACGAAGAUUUGAGCAGAAGACAACCGUCGUUCGUACCCUUUUUGGCUUAAGUGAUGUGGGCUAUUUUUCUUUUUUGGUUUUCAAUGGUAUCAAAUGGUGGCUUGUGCAUGGACCAAAGUCAGCAAAGUCAGGUAGGCUGAGACUUGGGACUUGGGAGGGCCGGAGGGGGUGGUUGUUGAAUUUACCAUGCAACUGAAUUAGAUGUAGAGAAAAGAUAGAGAGUAUGGGUAGGUUCGCAAGCAUCACAAAAGAGCAGAAAAACAAAAACAAGAAAAAUGGAUUCAUUGUCCGCUAAACUGUUUUUAUGCUCUUAAUAUGGGUCUAUGUGAAAUUAUGAAUAAAGUUGCACUCAUUUGUAAGAUUUUUGAUAAGACCAUACGAUGGGGCUUUGUUGAUAUGUCAGUUCACAUCGGAAAUGGGGCUUCGUUA